rnacentral:rRNA from 1 species
CCUACGGGAGGCAGCAGUGAGGAAUAUUGGUCAAUGGACGAGAGUCUGAACCAGCCAAGUAGCGUGAAGGAUGACUGCCCUAUGGGUUGUAAACUUCUUUUAUAAAGGAAUAAAACGAGGCACGUGUGCCUUUUUGCAUGUACUUUAUGAAUAAGGAUCGGCUAACUCCGUGCCAGCAGCCGCGGUAAUACGGAGGGACCGAGCGUUAUCCGGAUUUAUUGGGUUUAAAGGGUGCGUAGGUUGAUUUUUAAGUCAGUUGUGAAAGGGUGCGGGUCAAACGUAAAAUUGCAGUUGAAACUGGCAGUCUUGAGUACAGUAGAGGUGGGCGGAAUUCGUGGUGUAGCGGUGAAAUGCGUAGAUAUCACGAAGAACUCCGAUUGCGAAGGCAGUUCACUGGACUGCAACUGACACUGAGGCACGAAAGUGUGGGUAUCAAACAGGAUUAGAUACCCGGGUAGUC